rnacentral:lncRNA from 10 species
AGAGAAUGAGACUCAGGCCCCUUGCUCCUUUGUACUCCAUGCUUAACCUCUCACCAAACUUCCUCCUUAGAGGCCUAUCUACCCUCAUGCAAAUUAACUCAUACAAACAGAUACCGAGGAGGCCCACUACUAACCCGCAGCUCCUGAAAGGCUUCACUCUUCUGCCCUGGUGCAGAAACGGGCCCUACCUCUUUCAGAUUGGCCUGGAGCUGUCAGCUACCAGUGACUUCCAGAACCAACUUGCAAAUGUCUGCCAAUCAGUGGCACUGCUCAGACCAGAGCUCAGAUAAGAUGUUCUGCAGUCUGCUGAGAAAAUCUUCCAACACAGUUGUGGGACACAGAAGUCACUCACCAGAAACACUGGUCAUAUCACUUCUCCUUAUCUCUCUUCCUGGUGACGAAGCCCAAUGCCUGUGAGAUCUUUUUAAACAGAACCCUUUUUCCAAAUAAGAUUUGACCCGACACAGGGCCCCAGUGUAUGUGAACAAUAAAAGCUUCACUCCACUAGUUUAAAUAUAUUUUCUAAGAAGUUCAAGUUUCCAACAUGUUACUGUGUUACUUAUGAAAUCAGUGU